rnacentral:misc_RNA from 1 species
GAUGAAGAACGCAGCAAAAUGCGAUACUUGGUGUGAAUUGCAGAAUCCCGUGAACCAUCGAGUUUUUGAACGCAAGUUGCGCCCGAAGCCUUUUGGCCGAGGGCACGUCUGCCUGGGCGUCACGCAUCGCGUCGCCCCCCACAAUUCUCCGUAAAGGGAACAUGUGUUUUGGGGGCGGAUAUUGGUCUCCCGUGCUCAUGGCGUGGUUGGCCGAAAUAGGAGUCCUUUCGAUGGACGCACGAACUAGUGGUGGUCGUAAAAACCCUCGUCGUUUGUUUCGUGCUGUUGGUCGCAAGGUAAACUCUUUAAAAACCCCAAUGUGUCGUCUCUUGACGACGCUUCGACCGCGACCCCAGGUCAGGCGGGACUACCCGCUGAGUUUAAGCAUAUCAAUAAGCGGAGGA